rnacentral:lncRNA from 1 species
ACUUUCACUCAUGGUGGAAGGCAAAGUAGGAGCAGCUCCUCCAUUAGCCCCUGCAAAGUAUUCACUGACUGCUGGAACUAGAGCAUCACUGAGAAGCAAGAGAUGGACUGACCUAACUAGAGGGAGAGCUGCCGUCCAGGAUGAUGCCACCAUCAAAGGAGGUGAGAAGGAACACAGCAUCUUCUGCAAAUGCUACAGUAAAUAGGGAUGGGGUGCGGCAAUGUGAGGAAAGUGGAAUGAACUUGGACUUCGAAGGCAAACUAACCUGGAAUCAAAUACUGGCUCUGCUGUUUGCAAGUGUGAUCUUUGGGUGUGCUUCCUAAUCUGUGAGCUUCAACUUCCUCCUCUGUAAACCAAGAUCAAAGACAAACAGUGCAACCUACUUGUCUGGUGCCCAUCCCCUUGGCAGAACACUCCUCUGAAGGAUGACGGUUUGGCUGUGCCAGGGCAGAGGUGCCCACACCAAAUGAGCCUUCAUAGCA